rfam:Picea glauca, whole genome shotgun sequence.
ACAACGGUGUUUUUCAACACUACCAACCAAACUAUCAAAAAUAUG